rnacentral:rRNA from 1 species
UACGGGGGGGGCAAGCGGUUGUUCGGAAUUACUGGGCGUAAAGGGCUCGUAGGCGGCCAACUAAGUCAGACGUGAAAUCCCUCGGCCUUAACCGAGGAACUGCGUCUGAUACUGGAAGGCUUGAAUCCGGGAGAGGGAUGUGGAAUUCCAGGUGUAGCGGUGAAAUGCGUAGAUAUCUGGAGGAACACCGGGUGGCGAAGGCGGCAUCCUGGACCGGUAUUGACGCUGAGGCGCGAAAAGCUAGGGGAGCAAACGGG